rnacentral:rRNA from 1 species
UGAUCGGCCACAUUGGGACUGAGACACGGCCCAAACUCCUACGGGAGGCAGCAGUAGGGAAUCUUCGGCAAUGGACGAAAGUCUGACCGAGCAACGCCGCGUGAGCGAAGAAGGCCUUCGGGUCGUAAAGCUCUGUUGUUAGAGAAGAACAUGGGUGAGAGUAACUGUUCACCCCUUGACGGUAUCUAACCAGAAAGCCACGGCUAACUACGUGCCAGCAGCCGCGGUAAUACGUAGGUGGCAAGCGUUGUCCGGAAUUAUUGGGCGUAAAGCGCGCGCAGGCGGUCUCUUAAGUCUGAUGUGAAAGCCCCCGGCUCAACCGGGGAGGGUCAUUGGAAACUGGGAGACUUGAGGACAGAAGAGGAGAGUGGAAUUCCAAGUGUAGCGGUGAAAUGCGUAGAUAUUUGGAGGAACACCAGUGGCGAAGGCGGCUCUCUGGUCUGUUACUGACGCUGAGGCGCGAAAGCGUGGGGAGCAAACAGGAUUAGAUACCCUGGUAGUCCACGCCGUAAACGAUGAGUGCUAGUGUUUAAGGGGGUUUCCGCCCCUUAGUGCUGCAGUUAACGCAUUAAGCACUCGCCUGGGGAGUACGACCGCAAGUUGAACUCAAGGAAUUGACGGGGCCGCACAGCGGUGAGCAUGUGGUUUAAUUCGAAGCACGCGAGACUUACAGUC